GAUGAACGCUGGCGGCGUGCUUAACACAUGCAAGUCGAACGGAAAGGCUCCUGCUUGCAGGGGUACUCGAUUGGCGAACGGGUGAGUAACACGUGGGUGAUCUGCCCUGCACUUCGGGAUAAGCCUGGGAAACUGGGUCUAAUACCGGAUAGGACGAUGGUUUGGAUGCCAUUGUGGAAAGUUUUUUCGGUGUGGGAUGAGCUCGCGGCCUAUCAGCUUGUUGGUGGGGUAAUGGCCUACCAAGGCGUCGACGGGUAGCCGGCCUGAGAGGGUGUACGGCCACAUUGGGACUGAGAUACGGCCCAGACGCCUACGGGAGGCAGCAGUGGGGAAUAUUGCACAAUGGGCGCAAGCCUGAUGCAGCGACGCCGCGUGGGGGAUGACGGCCUUCGGGUUGUAAACUCCUUUCGCUAGGGACGAAGCGCAAGUGACGGUACCUGGAGAAGAAGCACCGGCUAACUACGUG
rnacentral:rRNA from 1 species